CCUACGGGAGGCAGCAGUGGGGAAUAUUGCACAAUGGGGGAAACCCUGAUGCAGCGACGCCGCGUGAGUGAAGAAGUAUUUCGGUGUGUAAAGCUCUAUCAGCAGGGAAGAAAAUGACGGUACCUGAUCAAGAAGCCCCGGCCAACUACGUGCCAGCAGCCGCGGUAAUACGUAGGGGGCAAGCGUUAUCCGGAUUUACCGGGUGUAAAGGGAGCGUAGACGGCAGCACAAGUCUGUAGUGAAAUGCCGGGGCGUAACCCCGGCACUGCUUUGGAAACUGUGCGGCUAGAGUGCAGGAGAGGUAAGUGGAAUUCCUGGUGUAGCGGUGAAAUGCGUAGAUAUUAGGAGGAACACCAGUGGCGAAGGCGGCUUACUGGACUGUAACUGACGUUGAGGCUCGAAAGCGUGGGGAGCAAACAGGAUUAGAUACCCUUGUAGUC
rnacentral:rRNA from 1 species